UCUGCUCCUUGGUGAACACUAGUGCUACAUCUUGCCACUUGUGCCCUCACAGCCUCUUCAUUCUCAUUCAAUUGUUGAACUUAAAUAGGCAGUACAAAUGACUUCACACCCAGCCACUAACUCACGCACGCACACACUAGGCUGACCGACGCAUUCGGCCACUAUCCUACACACGUCGGCAUAACACCAUCUCCUCCUAGAAUCUCUCCAGGAUAUGCAUCACCUGCUAACUAACCUACACUCGGUCAUGCACAAACAGACUCAACGCAUGCAUGGCUACAUGACCGACCUUUUAGCUAGCCCACUAACCAACCCAUACAUGCAGCUAACGACGACUCCAUUCAUGCAAACUAACUCACCGUCCAGCCGGCCAGUCCUGCUUCAGUCAUCUACGUGUGUGCCGUAUCACACGACCUUGCCGCCUCGCGCGGCACCGCGGUGUCACGCCGCCAUCGGCAUCUCGCCGGACUCGCGGUAUCUCACGGCCGUCUGGCAUCUCGCCUUCUCCACACAUCUUCAUUGAAGCUCCGCUGAAGCAUCAGCAGACUAGCUACUCUCUAACCUAUGCAACAUGCAUGCUGGUACAUCAUGACAAGAUUAGUGCUAACAAUCACCUCCCUAAUCUUGUCAUGCUAAACCGCCAGUUCCUCUCGCGGAUCGCCCGCAACACCUUGCCGUGCACGACGCCGUCGCAGCGCCAACCACCAUGCACCAUCUUGUCGUGGACGACCCCAUCACAGCGUCCGUCACCAUGCCGACUUGCCGCUCGUGGCGGCCUCCUCUCGACGUGGACGACGCUGUCGCAGCGCCGAUCACCACGCCGUCUUCGCCAAGCGGCAUCGCACCGCAACUUUUGUUGGCUUCACACCAACUUUCCAUGAUGACGAUGGCAUCACACCACCGUCGUCGGCAUCACGCCGACUCUUCUUGUGGCAGCUUCGCACCGCCAUCUUCACAUAGCGGCACCGCAUGGCCACCAUCCUCCUUCUUGCGCCGUCGGCCUCCAUCUCGCAUGAAGUCCGUCGCGCCACAACCGACGCCGUCGCAGCGCCGGUCACCACGGACCAUCUUGUCGUGGAUGACGUCCUCGCGACGCCGAUCAUCGCACCACCUUCAUCUCGCGGCAUCGCACCGCAAUCGGCCGCCCGCGGCAUCGUGCCGCUGCCAGCCAUCACCUCGCGCCCAGCGCCACGCCGGCCACCAUAGCCGCCGGCACCGUCGUCGCCGCCAUAGAUCAACAAGGCUCUGAUACCAAUUGUUAGCGCCGCCUCACCUCGCAGCGCCACUUCUUCUUCUACCUUGAGCUGCCUCUCACAACUCAAUCUCCAUCUCUCUUUGUUUCUCUCAAGAACACACACUACACGGUCAUGGUGAAACUCCACACACACACACACGCAUACACCAAAGAGAAGACAGCCGCUGCUUUGCCAAGAGGGUCUGCUCCUUGGUGAACACUAGUGCUACAUCUUGCCACUUGUGCCCUCACAGCCUCUUCAUUCUCAUUCAAUUGUUGAACUUAAAUAGGCAGUACAAAUGACUUCACACCCAGCCACUAACUCACGCACGCACACACUAGGCUGACCGACGCAUUCGGCCACUAUCCUACACACGUCGGCAUAACACCAUCUCCUCCUAGAAUCUCUCCAGGAUAUGCAUCACCUGCUAACUAACCUACACUCGGUCAUGCACAAACAGACUCAACGCAUGCAUGGCUACAUGACCGACCUUUUAGCUAGCCCACUAACCAACCCAUACAUGCAGCUAACGACGACUCCAUUCAUGCAAACUAACUCACCGUCCAGCCGGCCAGUCCUGCUUCAGCCAUCUACGUGUGUGCCGUAUCACACGACCUUGCCGCCUCGCGCGGCACCGCGGUGUCACGCCGCCAUCGGCAUCUCGCCGGACUCGCGGUAUCUCACGGCCGUCUGGCAUCUCGCCUUCUCCACACAUCUUCAUUGAAGCUCCGCUGAAGCAUCAGCAGACUAGCUACUCUCUAACCUAUGCAACAUGCAUGCUGGUACAUCAUGACAAGAUUAGUGCUAACAGAAC
rnacentral:lncRNA from 1 species